UGGGGAAUAUUGGACAAUGGGGGCAACCCUGAUCCAGCCAUGCCGCGUGAGUGAUGAAGGCCUUAGGGUUGUAAAACUCUUUCACCGGUGACGAUAAUGACGGUAGCCGGAGAAGAAGCCCCGGCUAACUCCGUGCCAGCAGCCGCGGUAAUACGGAGGGGGCUAGCGUUGUUCGGAAUUAUUGGGCGUAAAGCGUCCGCAGGUGGUGCCUCAAGUCUGCUGUCAAAGACCGAAGCUCAACUUCGGGCAGGCAGUGGAAACUGAAGCACUAGAGUACGGUAGGGGUAGAGGGAAUUUCCAGUGUAGCGGUGAAAUGCGUAGAGAUUGGAAAGAACACCAGUGGCGAAGGCGCUCUACUGGACCGUAACUGACACUCAGGGACGAAAGCUAGGGGAGCGAAAGGGAUUAGAUACCCCCGUAGUCC
rnacentral:rRNA from 1 species